GGAAGGGAUAGCCUUCGUUUCCACGAUGACUCUCUGGAUUAGGUUUAAGGGCAGUAUCAGCCUGAAACAAGUAUUCUGGCAUCUUGUCUCGUAGGUGCUUUACUCAAAAAGUAGACAGAUGUCUACUUUUGGAGUAAAGACCUACAUUCAGCUCAAGACCUGAAUGACCUGACUUUUCUUUCAUGCUAGAGAUGAAGUCAGUGGAAGAGGGAAAAAAAAAUAUUGAAAGAGUGCAUUUGACAACGGUGGGAGAGCAGAGAGGAGGGACUUCCAAGACAUCUUUGCCGCUCAGGUGGACUCCAGGUGACUGAGGGUGACGGAACAGGAAAAGCGAAGAAUGGUUGUGCAUCUUUCUUAAAAGCCAUGUGCACCUGUUGGUGAGAUUUUGUUUCUGAUAAUAGCUUCUUUCUGCCCUUCUAGAGAGUUUGUAGUGGCUGAUGUAUGAACAAAGGAGACUGCUACUUUGUACAAAGAAGAUGGCUAAAGAUGAACCUUCUCUAAAGCAGGGAAAAGUGUUACAUAAAACAUAAUUUUUUUUUUUCUCAAACAAGAAACGUCCUUACAGUUCUAAGCCAUUUUCAGGAUACUUUCAAAACUGAGAAAAACAUCUGGUAACUAAAUCCUUUCUUUAAAAAUGCAUUUAUUCUUGUUAAUGUAGGAGUCAAGACCCUUAGCUGUGACAAUAUGGAAAGAAUCAUAAUUAUGUCCAAGAGUGUAGAACUAAAGUAGAUUUUUCAUAAACACUGGGAGUCCAUUUUAAUAUGUAGAUUAUAUGGCAGCAAGGCAAUAAUUUUAAAUUCCACCGCUUCUCCAUAAGUUAUUUCCUGAUAAUUCUGCUUGUAAUCGUUUCACCCCUCCCAAACCUACAUAUGCAGGCAGACUCUUUGUCACAGCUGCUCACUGGACAUCUCCGCAGUGGAUAUUCCAAAGUUUCCUCGAAUCCACAAUGGCACCACGGAGGUCAAGUCUGUGGAGAUGUAGCAUGAAGCUCUGCCUGGUGGGUUUCAGCGUGAAGAAUGUGUCUGUGAAGGAUAUUCAUCUUGGCUUUGUGACCAAGAUGACCCGAAGGAGGAUGACCGGAAGGAGGAAGGAAGGAGGCCGGAAGCUUUGUGGCGCCGGUGAUCAUCUUGAAUCACGCGGGACAGAUCCACACCAGCUAUUCCCCAGUGCUGACUGCCACACAUCUCGUGCAAGUUUGCUGAACUGAGGGAAAAGAUCGACUGGUUCUCUAGCAACAAGCUGGAGGACGACUGAACAAGGCCCUGAAGUCGGGCAGUGCGGCCAUUGUGCAGAUGGUUCCCAGCAAGGCCAUGUGUGUGGAGACCUUCUCUGAAUACCCAGUUCUAGAAAAGCCAGGGACUGAUGAUGGCUGCUGAGCCCUGGGAAGGAAAGGACCUCUGACUGAGGCCAAGGAGUCUUCCCUUCUGUGCCUCAGUCUUCCUUCCUCUUCAGGCCAUUUUGUUGUGCAGGACAUGAGGCAAAUGGCGGCCAUUGGAGUCAUCAAGGCCAUGGAUAAGAAGACAUCCAUUGAGGGCAACGACACCAAGUUAGCAGUGAAGGACAGCAAGAAAUGAAGCAUGUUUUCUUCCUGGCCAUUUCCUUGGCAAUCUCCACUAUAUAAGACACUUUUGUGUAUUUACUGAGUAAAAUUAAUAACAAUGCUUAAACUUGCUAUCUAUCCUGGUUUCUUCCAAUGAGGAAAGCACAAGAUCAGUGAGGAACCUCUGGGUUGAUGAACAACUAACUCAAGGCCCGUGGGCUUCAAAGUGUUUUACCACCCAGAGGUCUAUACCAUCCUUUUCCUGUUUCCCUCACACUUAAAAGUAUUUUUACAAUGGCAUAAUGCCAAUAGGCUAAUCCAACACUACAAUGUAUGUCCCUCUCACCCACCUUCUCUUUAAUAUGUAAUUUUUUUUUUACUAAAUAUAGUUGAUUUACAAUGUUGUGUUAGUUUCAGGUGUACAGCAAAGUGAUUCAGUUCUUUCUCUAUGUGUCUCUAUCUAUAUCUAUACUUUUUCAGAUUAUUUUCCAUUACAGGUUAUUACAAGAUAUUGCCUCUAGUUCCCUGUGCUAUAUAGUAGGCUCUUGUUGUUUAUCUAUUUUAUGUACAGUAGUGUGUAUCUGUUAAUCUCAAACACCUAAAUUAUCCCUCCCUGCCCCUCUCUGCUUCCCUGUUUGGUUAACCAUGUUUCUUUUCUAUGUCUGUU
rnacentral:lncRNA from 1 species